GCUUGUCUCAAAGAUUAAGCCAUGCAUGUCUAAGUAUAAACUGCUUAUACUGUGAAACUGCGAAUGGCUCAUUAAAUCAGUUAUAGUUUAUUUGAUGGUACCUCUACUCGGAUAACCGUAGUAAUUCUAGAGCUAAUACGUGCGCAAAUCCCGACUUCUGGAAGGGACGUAUUUAUUAGAUAAAAGGCCAGCCGGGCUCACGCCCGACCUGCGGUGACUCAUGAUAACUUCACGAAUCGCACGGCCUUGUGCCGGCGAUGUUUCAUUCAAAUUUUUUUUUUCAAGGAAGGCAGCAGG
rnacentral:rRNA from 1 species